GACGAACGCUGGCGGCGUGCCUAAUACAUGCAAGUUGAGCGCUGAAGGUUGGUACUUGUACCAACUGGAUGAGCAGCGAACGGGUGAGUAACGCGUGGGGAAUCUGCCUUUGAGCGGGGGACAACAUUUGGAAACGAAUGCUAAUACCGCAUAAAAACUUUAAACACAAGUUUUAAGUUUGAAAGAUGCAAUUGCAUCACUCAAAGAUGAUCCCGCGUUGUAUUAGCUAGUUGGUGAGGUAAAGGCUCACCAAGGCGAUGAUACAUAGCCGACCUGAGAGGGUGAUCGGCCACAUUGGGACUGAGACACGGCCAAAAACUCCUACGGGAGGCAGCAGUAGGGAAUCUUCGGCAAUGGACGAAAGUCUGACCGAGCAACGCCGCGUGAGUGAAGAAGGUUUUCGGAUCGUAAAACUCUGUUGGUAGAGAAGAACGUUGGUGAGAGUGGAAAGCUCAUCAAGUGACGGUAACUACCCAGAAAGGGACGGCUAACUACGUG
rnacentral:rRNA from 1 species